GUGGGGAAUCUUGCACAAUGGGCGAAAGCCUGAUGCAGCAACGCCGCGUGCGGGAAGAAGGCCCUAGGGUUGUAAACCGCUUUCAGUAGGGAAGAAAAUGACGGUACCUACAGAAGAAGGUGCGGCCAACUACGUGCCAGCAGCCGCGGUGACACGUAGGCACCAAGCGUUAUCCGGAUUUAUUGGGCGUAAAGAGCUCGUAGGCGGUUUGGUAAGUCGGGUGUGAAAACUCUGGGCUCAACCCAGAGAGGCCACCCGAUACUGCUAUGACUAGAGUACGGUAGGGGAGCGGGGAAUUCAUGGUGUAGCGGUGAAAUGCGCAGAUAUCAUGAGGAACACCAGCGGCGAAGGCGCCGCUCUGGGCCGUAACUGACGCUGAGGAGCGAAAGCAUGGGUAGCAAACAGGAUUAGAAACCCUAGUAGUCC
rnacentral:rRNA from 1 species